ASGGGGGGAUUGCCUCAGUAACGGCGAGUGAAGCGGCAAAAGCUCAAAUUUGAAAUCUAGCACCUUCGGUGUUUGAGUUGUAAUUUGAAGAUGGUAACCUUGGGUUUGGCUCUUGUCUAUGUUCCUUGGAACAGGACGUCAUAGAGGGUGAGAAUCCCGUCUGAUGAGAUGCCCAUUCCUAUGUAAGGUGCUAUCGAAGAGUCGAGUUGUUUGGGAAUGCAGCUCUAAGUGGGUGGUAAAUUCCAUCUAAAGCUAAAUAUUGGCGAGAGACCGAUAGCGAACAAGUACAGUGAUGGAAAGAUGAAAAGAACUUUGAAAAGAGAGUGAAAAAGUACGUGAAAUUGUUGAAAGGGAAGGGCAUUAGAUCAGACUUGGUGUUUUACGAUUAUCUUCUCUUCUUGAGUUGUGCACUCGUAUUUCACUGGGCCAGCAUCGAUUCGGAUGGCAAGAUAAUGGCAGUUGAAUGUGGCUUCACUUCGGUGGAGUGUUAUAGCUUCUGCUGAUAUUGCCUGUCUGGAUCGAGGGCUGCGUCUUUUGACUAGGAUGCUGGCGUAAUGAUCUAAUGCCGCCCGUCUUAAA
rnacentral:rRNA from 1 species